GUCAGCAGCCAUAUCACCCUGCAACUCACAACUGGCAACCCACUGAAGCUCAGCAGGUGUGAGCCUGGUCAGUACCUGGAUGGGAGACCUCCUGGGAAAAACUAAGGUUGCUGCUGGAA
ensembl:rRNA 5S_rRNA 5S ribosomal RNA